rnacentral:rRNA from 1 species
AUUGAACGCUGGCGGCAGGCCUAACACAUGCAAGUCGAACGGUAGCACAGAGAGCUUGCUCUCGGGUGACGAGUGGCGGACGGGUGAGUAACGCCUGGGAAACUGCCCGAUGGAGGGGGAUAACUACUGGAAACGGUAGCUAAUACCGCAUAACGUCGCAAGACCAAAGUGGGGGACCUUCGGGCCUCACACCAUCGGAUGUGCCCAGAUGGGAUUAGCUAGUAGGUGGGGUAAUGGCUCACCUAGGCGACGAUCCCUAGCUGGUCUGAGAGGAUGACCAGCCACACUGGAACUGAGACACGGUCCAGACUCCUACGGGAGGCAGCAGUGGGGAAUAUUGCACAAUGGGUGCAAGCCUGAUGCAGCCAUGCCGCGUGUAUGAAGAAGGCCUUCGGGUUGUAAAGUACUUUCAGCGGGGAGGAAGGCGGUGAAGUUAAUAACUUCAUCGAUUGACGUUACCCGCAGAAGAAGCACCGGCUAACUCCGUGCCAGCCGCCGCAGUAA